CCAUUUGGAUUUCCUCUUUUGAAAAAUGUCUAUUGAGGUCCUUGGCCCAUCUCUUAAGUGGGUUGUUGGUUUUGUUUUUGUGGAGUUUCUUGAUCUCUUUGUAGAUUCUGGUUAUUAACCCUUUAUCUGUUGCAUAGUUUGCAAAUAUUUUUUCCCAUUCUGUCGGUUGUCUCUUCACUCUCCUGACUGUUUCUUUUGCAGUACAGAAACUUCUCAAUUUGAUGUAAUCCCAAUAGUUGAUUUUGGCUUUGACUGCCUGUGCCUCCCGGGUCUUUUCCAGAAAUUCUUUGCCUGUGCCGAUAUCUUGAAGGGUUUCUCCAAUGUUCUCUAGUAACUUGAUGGUGUCAGGUCGUAGAUUUAGGUCUUUAAUCCAUGUUGAGUGAAUUUUUGUGUAAGGUGAAAGGUAGGGGUCUUGCUUCAUGAUUCUGCACGUGGAAAUCCAAUUUUCCCAGCACCAUUUAUUGAAUAGACUGUCCUUACUCCAGGGAUUGGUUUUGGAUCCUUGAUCAAAUAUAAGUUGGCUGUAGAUGUUUGGAUUGAUUUCUGGUGUUUCAAUUCUGUUCCAUUGGUCUAUCCAUCUGUUUUUGUACCAGUACCAUGCUGUUUUGAUUACAACUGCCCUGUAGUAUGUCCUGAAAUCUGGUAUUGUGAUGCCUCCGGCUUUGUUUUUGUUGUACAAGAUUGCUUUAGCUAUUCGAGGUCUCCUGUGUCUCCAUAUGAAUUUCAGCAUCAUUUUUUCCAGAUCUGAGAAGAAGGUCUUCGGUAUUUUGAUUGGUAUUGCAUUGAAUCAUCAGUUAUAGUGGUUUGAAGCCAUUAAGGAUGGGCAGAUGUCCUUUGAAACCCUCCAAUUUCAUCACUGUAUAUUAAUUGUUCAUCAUAAUGAAAACUCUGCUUUUAGGAAAAAGAAUUUAAUUUCUAUUCCAUAUUCUCGUGGAUUUUGAAAAAUUUCCAUUGAAAAUACCCACUUUUACAGUACAUUUAGUGUUAAAUAGUCAAGUUUCAUUUCCUGAAAGAAAAUUCACUUACGCAAAAUAAUUUCCUGAUAAUUUCUGGUAAAUAUUAGAUAAAUAUUUUGUAUGUAUGUAUGUAUUAACGAGUUCGAACGCUUGUGAGUUGAUCGCUUUCCACUUAACUGGAGUUGUAAAUGGCUGGUCUUCCAAGGUGAUCCAGCAAGUAGAUGGCUGAAUCUAAAAGUGGAUGAUUUAUCACUUCAUUCCGGGAGAAAUGCAAAGAAGUUCUUGGCUGUAAGGAUACACCUUGGGCCAUUAAAGUGCACACUGACAAUGAUAGAUGCGGCGUCACUGUGUGGCUUAUAACAGACAGAGCAGGGCUGGGGCAAGAGCCUCCAUCUCCUGAUCCUGGUUUGGUGUGUUUCCGGGAUGCACAGCCCCCUUCAGUGACCCUGCCAGGAAUCUCCACUGGAAUGAACUGGAAGGCUGCAAUUUUCACAGGAAAUCAAGUCAUGGCUCCAAACCUGACGUUAAAUGUUUAGUAAGAUCUCCAGAGAAUAAUUACAUUUUUCUUUCCCUCUUUUUGUCAUUGACAUACUCUUUAAAUACCAUCAGAAGCAGUUUGCACAGAAGAUCUGUAAGGAUUGCACUUCUCCCUCUUCCCCAUUCAGUAUGUGCCCAUGACAGGCCUACCUUAACAGAGGGAUCUAGACAAAUAAAAGAUGUUCUAUUCUGUUUUCAUAACCUGGCUUCUCUCCUUUGCAACCUCUAUUAUUGAGAAUUCUCUAUUCUGGCAGCAAACAUGUCAUUUCAUCAAAAGUUCUUUAUAAAGCAGAUGGCAUUGAAAAGCAGCCUCUCAUUUUUCAGGUAUAGAAACUACAUUUUUAUGGAAAAACUAAAAAAAAAAAAAAAAGCUCAGAAGCCAGCUCUCUGAUCUAGCCCAGUCUUCCUACCAGGCCCAACUUCUGAAGUCAGUGUGGUAGCAACCACAGGGUGAUGACAGCCUCAAAGACCAGAAAACAGGACGUACAGCUUCUGCAAUGGCUCAAGAAGUAAAUCCUCUCUCUUCCUUGAGCAGCACGCCUCCUUUGAGGACCAGUCACAAUCCAUUCAUUAAGAACCAAUUAAUAUUUUCCAAAUAAACGUCCAAACCCAUUAACUCAUUGGAUCCAUGCAUCAGCUCUAUGAAGUCAGCAGGCCAAAUAUUGACAUUUUUAGCAAAUGAGAAAGUGAGGCUCAGAGUGCUCAAACAAUUAACUCAAGGACAAACAGAAAUCCUGGAUAUUACCAGGACAACAGAAAUAGUAUCUGACCUGACCCUAAUUGGGGAAUUUUCCACUCUUCUAUGCAGUUUCUCUUUCAGGUUCUAAGAGAAAGGGAGCAGUCUUUUAAGAGCAGUGGGCUAGUAUGGAGUGUUUCAAGAACAGUUUAACUGCAGGGUCUGGCAUUGUUGCACAGCGGUUGAGGCCAACAUCUGUGAUAUCAGCAUCCCAUAUGGGCACCAGUUUGUGUCUCAGCUGCUGUACUUCUGAACUGGUUCCCAGCUAAUGGCCUGGGAAAGCAGUGGAAGACAGCCCAAGUGCUUGGGCCCUGCCACCACAUGGGAUACCCAGAAGAGGCUCCUGGCUCCUGGCUUUAGCCAGGCCCAUCCCUGGCCUUUACGAACAUCUGGAUCCACCAGCAGAUGGAAGAUUCCUCCCUCUCUCUCUCUCUCUCUCUGCCUGUCAAAUAAGUAAAUAAAAUCUUUAAAAAAAGAAUAGUUUAGCUUGAGCCACCAAGUCACUCCCAAAGAAAUUACAAUAAAACAGCAAAUUAAACAGAUAUGAUUCUAUAUCUGGAACUUGAAAACUGGUAGGUUUACAUGUCACAAGAAGUCAGAGCAGACUGAAAAUCCUAAAAACUGGUAAAUGGGAGGUCCAUUUAUCCAAGUUUUUCCUUGUGUUUUCAGACUCUUCAUGCACGUACUAACUUUAUGUCUCAGAAGGAAAACACGGGUUGUUCUCUAUGCUAGUCAAAAUGUCUUUCUCACUAUUUCAUCCUCAAGACAAAUGCUGUCCACUAGAGAUAUGAAGAAAGCCAUGUAGAAGAUUUCAUUUUCUCUAGUAGGCACAUUUGAAAAAGUAAGACAGGAAUAAAUUUCAAUAAUAGAUUUCAUUUAACCCAGCAUAUCCAAAACAUUAUCAUUUCAACGUGCAACCACAUAUUUCAAAAAUAUGUUUAUGAGCUCUGAACAUUCUGGAUUUUUAUCUUAGUCUUCAAAAUCCAGUGUAUACUUUCCAUUCACAGCAUUCCUCUCUUCAGACCAUCCACACUUCAAAUGUGUCAAAACCACACGUGCCAGUGGCUGACAGCAGUGCUCCAAGAGCACUCAUGAGCUAUCCUCGGAUUUUAUGAAACCAUCUCUUAGGGUUGUGCUCACCUUCCCCUUUCUCCCCAGUUGCUAUACUGGCCUCCCCCUCCAGAAGGGGACCCCAAAAGCAGCUCUUAGGUUUGUUUCCAAGGCGGGGCAACCUGUAGCACUUAAGGCCAGAAGGAAGCAAUUGACCUAAGACCUUAGAGUGGCUCGCUUCAUGGGGAAAGCAGAGAGGCUGGCAAACCAGAAAACAGGAGCCCACUUUCUCCUCCUCACCAACUUCAUCCUCCAACCUGUUAACAUCCUGGAGAGGGAAAAGGCCUCAAGAGUUGCUUUUUGGGUCACUGAUGGGUGAUUCAUCCAACAAUGGGCCAUAAUUUCUAAGAUUCCUCUCUGCAAAUCAGCUCUUGCUAAUGGCAGACCACCAUUAACAUUGAUGCUAACAGACUGGAAGAUAAAAGGGUGGAGGUUUGUUCCUCCAAACCAUUGAAAACUCCAGGCCUAAACCCAUUUACAGAACAUUUUCUAAUAGAUAAAUGAGACACAAAUCAUGUGUACCUGACUGUAAAUGAAUAGCUCGCAUACAGAGGGUAAACUAGAAACUCCAUUUUCAGCCUAGAUGAAAAUGACAUGUUUUUGUUUCUGCAGAGACUAAGUGCUUCUUCCCAGUAGGCCCCCACUUCCACCUCAAAGAGAGUGAAUUACUCCCACUAUUAACAUGUUCCCAAACAGAUGUGCAGGAGGCCAAAAUCCGAACCCUUCUAGCCAUUUAAACUGUGUCUUGAAAUAGCACCUCCCGGAAUAAAUGGACCUCCCAUUUACCAGUUUUCAGGAUUUCCAGUCUGCUCUGAUUUCCUUUUUAUGUAGCUUUUAUUUUGUGUUUCAGCACGAACCAGGUUUGCCAUAGCAAGGGAAAACCAGAGCUAGGCUUGAAAAUGAUGCUGAAACAUCUAGAUUCAAAUCCGGAACCCAAGUGGGCGGCAGUCAAGUGAGACAGGUUUUUCCAAGUACACAGAAAGUGAAAUACUUCCGUCCCAGGCUGUGUCUACCAUGCGUGCAGAAACCUCGUUGGUUUGGCAGUUUUGAGGACUAAAAGGGCACUCCCUGAGCUGUGCUCUGAAUAACUUAUAGUUACUGCUUCCAAUGUGAUUGAUUGGGGGGGGGGGGGUGCAGGUUGGCUUCUGGCUUGUCGGUGAAUGUGUGUUUGUUUUUUCUACUUUUAUUGCACGUUAAACCAGAUGAACCCAAAAACACCAGUUGUUACUUUUGAAUGAUUUUUUAAAUUAUAUCACCAGUUGAGGCUAUUGAUUUAUUCUAUUGAUUUAAAAAAAAAUAAAACCCUCUUCAGUUCUCCAGUGACUGCUAGCCACUGGCCUCCAAAAUCAAAUUUCCACAUGUCUCUGCCACUUAACUUUAUUGGAUGUUUCCUAAAUGUUUACUAAUCUAAAAGUGGCACUUUUCAUGUUUACUGGGUCUAAUGACACUUUGGUAUUUGCAAAAUCACUCUUUGGGGCUGUGCUGAUGGCUAAAUUGCAGAAACAGAGAUUUGGGGUAGACCUAAGGAAAGACUUCCCUAUAGCAAAUACAGUGAAUGCCGAAAAAGCUUUUCAAAGCUCCUCUGAAAUAAGUCAGGGAAAAAAGCAAUGUGAUCACUCUGUUGGAGUCUACCAGAAAGUACGUAUAGCUCACUCUGAGUAUUCUCCCAGCCCAAUGCCACGGCCUGCAAAUUCUCCAGUCUCCAAAUGCUAACCCCUGCUCCAAUGCCUGAUGUGGAUUUGAUGUUAACUACCUGAUUAUCAAAUUGUAGUGUAGUAGUGAUGGUGUGUGUCUCUGUAAACAUGUUGGGAUGGAGUGGAAGAAUCUGGGCAAGGGAGUUGAAUAAAGGUGAGGGGGACGAAAAAGAAAACAGUAAGUGAAUAUUUUCAAAAAGCACAAGCAGUAAUCCUUAGCAGCAUUACUUGCAGAACUGAAAUGUGAGCUUCGUUGAUAGCUGAUCCUUCUCUGUUCUGAGGGGAUGCCUGGCAGGUGAAUCAUUCCACUGCCCUCCAGAGAGGGGUGCACUUCUCAGUGGCAGUGCUGCAGGUGCAUUUCCCAGACCACCCAGGAGAGCACCUGCACACCCCUAGGAGCAGUACACUGGUCUUGCAGUGCCCAAAGCAUAUUCAGUAGGCUUGCUCUUACCCUGCCCCUCAGUGUCCCCCACUUUCCCUGCCUCUUUGCUCCAUGGAAUCGGCAGAGGCAAGCCUGUGAAGCAAACAAAUUCGUUGGCUUCAAACAGGCAAGAGAAUGAGGGAAAUCCCUGUAGCCAGGAACAUGCCCAUCCUUCCUUACAAAGCAGGCUCAGGCUAUCUAGUUAGUGGGUAAAUGAGAGAAAGAAAACCCAAGUGUUGAGGUGACACUGUAGCUGGGUUAGCAGGAAUUGCAGUCUCCUAGUGGGGCAAAGGGCUUCCCAUUCUGCCGUAACCACCACACUUCAUGGUUUCACUCCGUGACUGCUUCCCAGUGUGAAUCCAUGGCAAGCUGGGACACACCUGCCAGGCUUGCACAGGAGCAAAUGUAUCUAGGUUCCUAAGGGUUCCCUGGCACAGCUGGUUCCCUGGUUCCCACAGCUGUGUCCACUUCCCAGCAUUAAAGAUUAACCACCAGGGCUUCAUUGGCAUCUUUAUUAGCAACUUGAUCAUUACUGCUGACCCCACAGCCAAAGUCAGGCUUCCCAGGGUCCACUCCUGAACCUUAUCGUCUUUAUGGCUCAUUCCUCAUGGGGCAGAUAGGAAUCACAGUAGCCCUGACCUCACAUGGCUGCUAAUGCAUGGAAAACACUCAGCAAUGUGUAUGGACAAGUAGUACCCACUCAGUAAAUAUUAGCUGC